AAGAAAACGAGAAGGGACGGACAAAACACAAACUUCCAACUCGCAACCUAGUUGCUAGUUGGAAGUUUGUGUUUUGUCCGUCCCUUCUCGUUUUCUU
rnacentral:pre_miRNA from 1 species